AUUUCAGGACCCCGCUGAAGAGCUAUGGAGGAGGAAUCCGAGAAGGAGAACUCGGAGGUGAGAUCUGAAGAGAAGGAUUUUUGGAAGAAGAAGAUAGUCCCGAGAGGGGCCUUGAGUACGGUCUGGAUGGAUUGAGAUCCUAUCUUCUUUUGAGAUCUCCUUUUUGAUGUGAAUAGUUAUGAAGUGAUUUAUGGUUUGUAUAAAAGUUUGGUUAUAAAUUUCAAUAUGAAAAAUAUGGCC
rnacentral:lncRNA from 1 species